rnacentral:rRNA from 1 species
CAGCACCUCAAGUGGUCAGGAUGAUUAUUGGGCCUAAAGCAUCCGUAGCCGGCUCAGUAAGUUGUCGGUUAAAUCUGUACGCUUAACGUACAGGCUGCCGGGAAUACUGCAGAGCUAGGGAGUGGGAGAGGUAGACGGUACUCGGUAGGAAGGGGUAAAAUCCUUUGAUCUAUUGAUGACCACCUGUGGCGAAGGCGGUCUACCAGAACACGUCCGACGGUGAGGGAUGAAAGCUGGGGGAGCAAACCGGAUUAGAUACCCGAGUAGUCC